GGCAAAGGAAGAAAGAGCAGAGGGAGAGGAGAGAUACCAAGCGGCAACCUUGACCAAAAUACUCUGUAGUUGUGGCCAGUGUUGUCCAGCAGUCAAGCAUCCCAGGAAGGCAGCAGAACCCAAGAUGAAGGCGCCAGAUGAGAGUGGAAGGGAAUGGUCCGGCAACAAUAAUUCUGCUUCCUCGUUGUUCUCCUCUCGAAGUGACUGGUGCCGUCAUGGAAAUUGAAAUCUCUAACCCUCAGACCAGAAACCUAACUUCACAGACUUACUUGGAGUCCCUGCAUCCAUCCCUGCUGAGGAUGGCUCCCUGCUAAGCUAUGCUGGAGACUGAAUUAUCCAUUUAAAUACUGAAAGUCACUUCUUCAGAAGCUGAAUGAAACUGAUAUAAUGAAUGAAACUUGUAUUCUGGAAACCCAUCUCCCGCC